GGAAGAUUUCAGCCAGUCUGCAUCAGAUAUGUUCCAGUUGUUGACAAUAAAUACAUAUUGUUUCUCUUGUAAUAUGACUUUUUCUGGGUUUCUGCUAGUUCUGUUUCUAGGCGUGUAAUUUAUCUGUCUUGCAGUGACUGUGAGGGGAGUGGCAGGAUCUGGCUGGGUGAGGUGAGCUACCUCCUUUGUGAGCACUUUGUUUUCAGUCUGACUCAGUGCAAGCCGUAACCCUGGCACCGAGUGUAAGGUCACAGCUUUGGUGACUUCAGCACAUCACCCCAGCUCUGGGGAAGACUGGAUCCUCCUAGGGACGAGGGAGACUGGAAACCGCCUUGCUGAAAAUGAGCAAAAUUGCAAAUGGAUGAUGCUCUGUAGGCAUUCCUGCCCAGAAAUCUCAUCCAGCUGAGAUUUCAUGUUAUUUCUGUCAAUAACGGGGUAUCACUGUGCGUACGGGUAUCUCUGGUUUCUGUAGAGGGCAUCUGAGGUGCAGGAGAGAAAUGAGUUGCUGAAGGUCUCACGCAAGUCUUGCACUUAAUCUGUGGAAGGAAUCCAGCCACCCUUGUCCCCCAUUUCCACAGUAACGUUCAAGCUUCAGGAAAGCUACAGAGUAGUAAACAACUGCUGGGAAUAAAUGAGCUUGUCAUGCUAAGCGUACUCCUAAAGGGAUGCUGUGCUACCUCUUUUUUCUUUAUAAAAAACAGCUGGCCCACAGUGGCUGUAGUAUCUAAGCCUAGGAUAAAAGAGGAUUGAAGUCUCCCAGUGCUAACAGGGUAUCUCAAGCUGCCUUGUGGCCUGCAGGUUCAGAAUCUGCAGAAUGACACUGAAAGCACAGCCUAGUACUAGGAGUUCUGCUUCGGUCCAGAGUGUCUCUGCUUUCAUGGAACUGCAACAGUAUGAUCUCUGCUUGCUUCUAAGAGAAAUAAGGAGCUGUAAGCACACUGUUAAGAUCUUCAACAGAAAGGUACGUGCUGUUAUCUAUCUAUUUAUUUAUUUAUUUAUUUUACUGAUGGUGGGCCACGUGACAUUCUACAUUGUGUUGUUUUAUUCUAACUCUGUUGCAGUAAGAUCCAUAAUGGCACAAAAUUAUUCCCUCACUCAUUUAAAAAAAAAAAAAGUUGAUUUCUGUUCUUACUGUGUAUAUGUAUUUUAAAGCUUUUUGUUAUUCCCUAUUACCUUGGGGCUGGUAUUGUUUGCUCCAUUUGCAUCCUGCUGAAAUACUUUUUUUGUUUUGUUUUUCCUGAAAAUGCAGAAGAAGCAGUGAAAGAGAUUUGCUGCAAAAGCUGUGCAAAUAUUCAAAUAAAUCAGCCAGCUUCCUUGGCA
rnacentral:lncRNA from 1 species